GAAAAUUCAUGCUGAAAUACCAACAACUUGGAACAGAGACAUCAUCUCAGUCAUACCUGUAGCAUCACCAGGCUCUACGAGACAAAGAGAAGAGCUACAGGAAGAAAUUUAAAAUCUAAGAAGUUCCAACAGUGCUGGUUUCAACAAACUCUAUCCUAGGGCAGAAACCCUGGGAGCAUAAUGAUUUUAAUUGCCUAGAAGCAUAUUAAUGGAAUUAUAUUAAUAAUUCCACUCAGCCCAUCAGGUAUAAUAUGAAAAUCCUAAUAAAUGCCUCCUGACUGUGAAUUUGCCAUUUUGCUGUGCCAAAUUCCUUACUGGUGUAGGCAAUUGGUUUCCAUUUCUCCCCUCAGAUAUGUCACAUACUCCUGAUACCUUGGGGCCCUACUCAGUGCCUCAACCACCCUUCUUCAGGACCAAGCAAGCAAAGAAAAAGAAUCAAGCUGCUCCCAAAUGUCACUGCUAAACAUCACUCCAGAACUUUAACAAAGUCAUUUUCUUUAAAAUUACCCAUCAUUAAAAGUGGCUGUUGGGGUUUAUCCUGAUUAGCCAGCUGUGCUGCAGAAGCCUGGUGCUACCCCAGCCUACUCCCAGCUGCCUCCUCCCCAAGAUAACAUUAACUACAUGAAAGUCUUCGCCAGACUUUCUGUAACUGUUAGUAAUUUUCAGUGCUUUUCUCCACCCAGUGUUUGUCUGAGCAGAGGACGGCAGGGAGGUUUAUCUGAAAUUGCUCAAGCCACUAAUCCCAGGCUACCACUUGGUCUGUUCUUCUCCCAGCGAGCAUUGAUGCUGUAGGGAUUUGAAUGAUUUGUUUGGUGCUGUGAAGCCAAAAUCCAUCAGCGUACAGCUGGGGAUGUGCCUAGUGGUAAGAGAGCAAGACCAGCAACUGGGAGCCUGGUCUUCUAUUCCUGGCUCAGCCCCAAUUCGCUCUGUGACUGUGCGCAAAUCGCUUAAGCUGUCUCUGGGAUAAUAAUCGACACAGCGAUUCUAGGACGCUUAAUUUUUAAAGUGUCAACUCAUAUAUUUUCUCUGAUGUGCCUCAGGAGAUGUCCUUUUCCCUUCACUGGGAGCAGGAGCAGGGCCUUAGUACUGACAGCAAGAUUUGCAACCCCUGACCCCUUCUUCCCCAGUCUGCCAUAACUACUUCAUACAAAAUGUUUAAUAAUAAUAGUAAUGCCAGAAAUGCUGUCCCAGAGCUCUGAAAGCCUCUUAUUUUC
rnacentral:lncRNA from 1 species